GUCCCUGUAGGAAUGCAGACACACAGCUGAGUCCUCAGGUUACCUGCUUUGAAAUGUGACUCCUCUGCAAACACGGGAGUGGUAAGAGUCUAAUGAAAGGCCUUUUAUCAGCCUGUCCCAUUUCAUCCAUCAGUCUGAUCAGUGCUGGAAACGUUUUUAAAUACCUGAAAAUCUUUCCAGGAACCAAACUCAAGGAUUUAUGUGAUUAUUCAAGGACACCUAAAACAUUCUCGGUGCACAGAGGACCUCCUAACGGACACAAACAAGGCCUCGAGAGACCUCCAGAAAUCCCCCAGUGACUUCCUUUGCAUCCCUAAUGAAAUAGUACAUCAACAAAAACUAUAAAACAUGACUGAACUUGUUGUUUACAGAAAGACACUUUUCAUCUGACAAAGGAAGAGUUUGCUUUGGGGAAACACAGGAGGGACUUUACUACCACGUGAACCAAAGCUUCUCCACAGCAGCCAUUUUUACAAUCCAGCGUGUUACUCGUGCAUUAAUCAAGGUUGAGCCUUGAAACUCCCACUGCCCUCGUGCUGCUGCUGCUCUCCUCUCUGCGAGGCGGUCAGCUGAUGCAGCACACCUGUACCUUCAACGUGAUAAAAGCUGGCCCAGGUGUGGUGCCUUUUAUUCAUUCAGCAGAACUUACUGUGAGUUUGUUUUUCAUAAAUUCUACUUCAUGUAAUUUUGUCAUGCACACACUUCUUGUUGUUUAGCUUGAGGCAGUAACACAUGGAGUGGUGUCUGGGAGGGUAAACUCCUUUGGUAAGCUUACAGCUUGAGUCAUAGUUAAUGGCCAGCUUGCUUUGAAGUCUGCAAAUAUUAAACUUAGCGUUUGUUGAUUUUAGCAUUGUGUCCAAGAUUUCUGGGAGUGUCACACAAGACGGUGUUUGGUUUCGGUCCUUGGCUCAUCAUCAGAGACGAUCUGCACAUCGUUCAGAAUUCAUUCUCGUGGUUUCCUGUUUCCUUUGAACAUUGCACAGAGUUUGUAUGAGUGAAGCAGCAGGUCAAAGACCAGCUAUGCUUGUGUACAGAAUCAGGCCAGGAAUGUCUGCUGAUGCUACAGGAGAAGUAGGAGGACCACCAGAGUGUGGUGUGAACCUGUGGACAAAGUCUGAUUCAGUGUGCACACCAGACUCCAGAAUACAGUGUGGACAAAGUCAGAGAUGCUGGAGUUACCAGAACCAAAAGCAGUGCCAUAGAAAGAGACCAAUCAGACCCUCAGAGCUGUUAAUACGUGAUGGAUGGGUAUUAUUGAGCGAUUUAAGGGUUAGUGGAGAAACACUGAGCAACUUUCUGGGCAAAUUCAGCCUUACAAUAAAAACCUGAACACCGAUAAACACACAUGAACUUCAUGGUGUUAGGAAAAAUCUUUUUAAAUGUUUAACACAUAAUACUGAGGAAGCACAGCAGGUGGCGCUGUCAGUCUGAACUGCCCAAAAAGUUCCCGUCAGGCAGCGAUUAGUAAGAUGUUAAUGUGAUGAGUUAGAGGAACCAGAUCUGCUGGAA